AUUCCAGCUCCAAUAGCGUAUAUUAAAGUUGUUGCGGUUAAAAAGCUCGUAGUUGGAGUUCUGCCAGGUGACACUCGUCCGCCCAAGUGGUGUGUACAGGGUGUGCAUCUGGCCCUUUCAAGGGGAACGUGUCUGCUCUUUAUUGAGUGGUGCGAGAUCCUUGACUUUUACUUUGAGGAAAUAAGAGUGUUCCAAGCAGGCUCUCGUCGUGCAUAGCUCAGCAUGGAAUAAUAGCAUUGGACUUCGUUUCUAAGCUGUUGGUUGCGAGAAGCGAGGUAAUGAUGAAGAGGGAUAGUUGGGGGCAUUCGUAUUUAACUGUCAGAGGUGAAAUUCUUGGAUUUGUUAAAGACGGACGACUGCGAAAGCAUUUACCAAGGAUGUUUUCAUUG
rnacentral:rRNA from 1 species